rnacentral:rRNA from 1 species
CCUACGGGUGGCAGCAGUGAGGAAUAUUGGUCAAUGGACGCACGUCUGAACCAGCCAUGCCGCGUGCGGGAAGACUGCUCUAUGAGUUGUAAACUGCUUUUGUACGGGGGUAAACGCAGAUACGCGUAUCUGUCUGAAAGUAUCGUACGAAUAAGGAUCGGCUAACUCCGGGCCAACAGCCGCGGUAAUACGGAGGAUUCAAGCGUUAUCCGGAUUUAUUGGGGUUAAAGGGUGCGUAGGCGGUCGGAUAAGUUAGAGGUGAAAUCCCGAGGCUCAACUUCGGAAUUGCCUCUGAUACUGUUCGGCUAGAGAGUAGUUGCGGUAGGCGGAAUGUAUGGUGUAGCGGUGAAAUGCUUAGAGAUCAUACAGAACACCGAUUGCGAAGGCAGCUUACCAAGCUACUUCUGACGCUGAGGCUCGAAAGUGCGGGUAUCAAACAGGAUUAGAUACCCGGGUAGUC